rnacentral:rRNA from 1 species
GGGUACUGGGAUGAUCUAAGCAUGCGAGUCAUUGUAGUAAUACAAGGCAGACGGCUCAGUAACGCGUAGUCAACCUACCCUAAGGACGGGGAUAACCUCGGGAAACUGAGAAUAAUACCCGAUAGAACAUAGCUCCUGGAAUGGUUUAUGUUUCAAAUAAUUUAUUGCCCUAGGAUGGGACUGCGGCCUAUCAGUUUGUUGGUGAGGUAAUGGCCCACCAAGACUAUUACAGGUACGGGCUCUGAGAGGAGUGGCCCGGAGAUGGGUACUGAGACACGGACCCAGGCCCUAUGGGGCGCAGCAGGCGAGAAAACUUUGCAAUGUGCGAAAGCACGACAAGGUUAAUCCGAGUGGUUUCUGCUAAAGGAACCUUUUGUCAGUCCUAGAAACACUGAUGAAUAAGGGGUGGGCAAGUUCUGGUGUCAGCCGCCGCGGUAAAACCAGCACCUCAAGUGGUCAGGAUGAUUAUUGGGCCUAAAGCAUCCGUAGCCGGCUUUGUAAGUUUUCGGUUAAAUCCAUGCGCUCAACGUAUGGGCUGCCGGGAAUACUGCAAAGCUAGGGAGUGGGAGAGGUAGACGGUACUCGGUAGGAAGGGGUAAAAUCCUUUGAUCUAUUGAUGACCACCUGUGGCGAAGGCGGUCUACCAGAACACGUCCGACGGUGAGGGAUGAAAGCUGGGGGAGCAAACCGGAUUAGAUACCCGGGUAGUCCCAGCUGUAAACUAUGCAAACUCAGUGAUGCAUUGGCUUGAUGCCAAUGCAGUGCUGCAGGGAAGCCGUUAAGUUUGCCGCCUGGGAAGUACGUACGCAAGUAUGAAACUUAAAGGAAUUGGCGGGGGAGCACCACAAAGGGUGAAGCCUGCGGUUCAAUUGGAGUCAACGCCGGG